rnacentral:rRNA from 1 species
UGGGGAAUCUUGCGCAAUGGGCGAAAGCCUGACGCAGCGACGCCGCGUGGGGGAGGAAGCCCUUCGGGGUGUAAACCUCUGUCGGGAGGGAAGAAUGGCUGCCCGAGGAAAUGCGGGCGGUUUGACGGUACCUCCAAAGGAAGCACCGGCUAACUCUGUGCCAGCAGCCGCGGUAAUACAGAGGGUGCGAGCGUUGUUCGGAAUUACUGGGCGUAAAGCGCGCGCAGGGCGGGCCUUUUAAGUCUACCCGUGAAAUGCCGGAGCUCAACUCCGCGCACGCCGGGGGAUACUGGAGGGCUGGAGACAGGUAGAGGCAGGCGGAAUUCCGGGUGUAGCGGUGGAAUGCGUAGAGAUCCGGAAGAACACCAGAGGCGAAGGCGGCCUGCUGGGCCUUGUCUGACGCUGAGGCGCGAAAGCGUGGGGAGCGAACAGGAUUAGAUACCCUGGUAGUCCACGCCGUAAACGAUGGGCACUAGACGCGGGUGGGAUCGACCCCUUCCGUGUCGCAGCUAACGCGCUAAGUGCCCC